CUGAAGUCACAAAUAAAAAUAACUAAACGUUUAAAACUGGAACGUCACGUGUUUAGUUUCUAUCGUUAGUUAGUUUCUAUAUUGUGGGGCGCUGACAGGUGUGACGCUGUGAAGGCGUGAUGCUGACAGGUGUGACGCUGACAGGUGUGAUGCUGACAGGUGUGACGCUGUGAAGGUGUGACGCUGACAGGUGUGAUGCUGACAGGUGUGACGCUGACAGGUGUGACGCUGACAGGUGUGACGCUGUGAAGGUGUGACGCUGACAGGUGUGACGCUGACAGGUGUGACGCUGUGAAGGUGUGACGCUGACAGGUGUGAUGCUGACAGGUGUGACGCUGUGAAGGUGUGAUGCUGUGAAGGUGUGGCGCUGACAGGUGUGAUGCUGUGAAGGUGUGGCGCUGACAGGUGUGAUGCUGUGAAGGUGUGACGCUGACAGGUGUGAUGCUGACAGGUGUGACGCUGUGAAGGUGUGACGCUGACAGGUGUGACGCUGACAGGUGUGACGCUGACAGGUGUGAUGCUGUGAAGGUGUGAUGUGGACAGGUGUGAUGCUGACAGGUGUGACGCUGACGGGUGUGAUGCUGACAGGUGUGAUGCUGUGAAGGUGUGAUGUGGACAGGUGUGAUGCUGACAGGUGUGACGCUGACGGGUGUGAUGCUGACAGGUGUGAUGCUGUGAAGGUGUGAAGCUGACAGGUGUGACGCUGACAGGUGUGAUGCUGACAGGUGUGACGCUGACAGGUGUGAUGCUGACAGGUGUGAUGCUGACAGGUGUGACACAGACAGGUGUGACGCAGACAGUCGACCUACAGAUGACGUUCUUGGGUUGGAAAAUCUCCUUAAAGUCUUCUGCGUUGUGGAUUUCAGCUGACGACAUUUUCUC